GAAUGGCACCUGUAUGCAUAUAUUUUGAAAUUACAUCAAUGGUAUUGUGUUCUAUAAUUCACCCUGUUUCUUUUUUCACUAAGUUUUUCAGAAGCGUUCCUGGUACUAUGUGUACAUAUAAUCCUUUGCUUCUAAUCUCUGCAUGCUAGCUCUUUGCCAUCACCUCUAGAGCAGGUUUUAGGUUUUUCUGUGGGCGUGGUCCUCUUGUUUAGCUCCUCUUCACACCUGUGGUAACAGCCUCCAAGAUGGCCUCCAGUGAUCGCUGCUUCCUGGUGUUCAUGCCUUUGUCCCCAUAGAGAGGCCCACGUGUCAAGGCACUGAGGCCUCUUGCCAACAGCCACAUGAAUGAGGUCAGAAGCAGAUCCUGUAGGCCCAGUCAAGUCUUGGGAGACUACAGCCCUGGCUGCCAGCUUGACGGUAGCCUUCCCCAUAAGCCCCCCUGAGCAUCCAGAUUCCUGACCCUCAGAAGACAUGUGUGGAACUGUUCAUUGUUUUAACCCGCCACGUUUGGGAGUAACUUGUUACACAGCCAUUUAUAACCAUUAUCUCUCCCAUCACAGUGUCGUGGUUCACAGCUGAACUCUGAAACUAGGCUGUCUGGGCUUAACUCCUGGUUAGGCUACUUCAAGGCUGUGUGACUUUGAGCACGUGACUUAAUCUUUCGGUGCCUCAGCUUCCUCAGUUAUAAAAAUGGGGGACACUACUGUUACCUGCUUCCUCGGGUCAUGAGGAUUAAAUACAUACAUAAAAAGGGCUUAGCCAGGUGCCUGGCAUGUAAUUAGCAGUUGGUAAAUGUUGAUUGCUGCUGCUGUUAUGAUUCUGGCUGAUGGGAGAAGGUUGCAGAGACUGAAGAGGAGUUGAGGGAAACACUACCACAGCACCACGAUCAUGACUUCCAGAGAAGUAAGGGUGGGAUGAGUCUUUGCCAGUCCUCCUGAAACAGGUCCCUGUGGUUUUGCCUCCAGGCAGAGCAUGGCCAAGCUCUGUAUAUUGCAGGUGGGACCAUCCUGCCCAGGUGAGGAGAGGCAGCCCUUAGGAUGGCUCCAUGGAUGCCCAUUCUUGAGUGAAGCGGCCAUGAUUCUGAGCACGCAUCCUUGGGUUUUAAAAUCCCUGCUCCGGAAGAUGAAGUCAGAGAAUGCUUUAGAAAGGUUGGACUUUGACAUAUACACAGU
ensembl:lncRNA